UGUGUACUCCCUCCGUUCCAAAAUACUUGACUUCCAUUUGUCCAAAAGUGGAUGUACCUAUAUACUAAGACAUGUCUAGAUACAUAUAUAUUUUGACAAAUAGAAGGCAUGUAUUGUGCAACAGAGGGAGUAGAAU
rnacentral:pre_miRNA from 1 species